rnacentral:lncRNA from 1 species
GUUUCUGAAAUCUCUGUUUCCUUAGUAGAAAUGACCUUGACAACUUAUUUUCUGAGAUACCACUAGGCCUACUGUCUUUCAUGCCAUUUUAUAUAAACAUUUUGAUAGAUACUCUGUCUUUUGUUUUUUAUCUCUUCUCUUUUCAAGAGUCACUUGACUUUUUCAAAUAUUCUUAAAAGAUAGAUUUAGUUAUUGUAUUUUGGUCUACAAUUUUGGACUUGGCAGUUUGUUUUACUAAUGCAGAAUUAUUCUUUUUGUUUCAAACAUAGUUUGCCAUCAUCUGGCUACUACCUAAUCAUGUUGUACUAGUUAUUGUGGAAAGAAAAUUGUACAUACAUUUCCUUGUCCUUUGGGAGAUGUCUUUGAGUCAAACCCACAAGCAUGAACUCUCACCUGAAAGAAAACUGGAAAAGGAGAAACUUUAAAUCAGUAUGUUUUGAAAGGAAGAGAUUUCCAGACUUUUUAAAGCAAAUUGGAAUCGUUUUAUUUUUUUGUUUGGGCCUUAGGCACAAUAGAAGCAAAUGUUGCAAUAUUAAAUAUAAUAGGGAGAGUUCACUGUUUCCUGGGACAUUGUGGUCAUGUCCUUAAUCCUUCAUUGUGAUGCCCCUUCUUGGAGUUGGCAUUUUGUGACAAUUCAUAGAGAUCUUGCAGCAAUAUUUGGCUAUUGGUUUUAUUAACUUAAAAUUCAACAGAAAUGGAGUAAUUAAAAAAAAAAACAAAAAACAGAGAAGAAUUGCAAAAUCUGAAGUGGAAUGGCACUUCCUUGGGUAUGUAAGGGUUGUUUUUAGAUAAAACUCCCGAUUUGUUCUUCCUACACUUUAAUAGUCUCAAAUUCUUUCUGGGGAAGCAACGUCAGUGUCUACCUCCACAGUAACUAUGAUAUAGGAAAUUGUCCUUUCAGUGGUUUCUAGGUAUAACAAACAAGCCGUUAAAAAUGAGUGACCAUUUUGUAGGUUACAGCCUCAGCAAUCUGUGUCAUUUGAAAGCAAAUAUCCUGAUAUUUUUAAAUAAGGUGAGCAGGGCAGGCAGGAAACCAAUAUUUAGUACUUUUGUGAUUAAACAUUCUAGACCAGGCUUGUUGAUAUGUAUGCCAAUAGCCUAGAAUUUUUGGCUUAGUGUAAAAUAAAAAUGUCUUUUCUAUUGUGGUCUGAUAUCCGUUUCUGUAAUAAGAUCAGUUUGUUGUCCUCUGUGCACCAGUGGUUUUGCCCUUAAUUUUUUUUGGCUAGCAUCACCAAGAUCUGUCAUCCAGAGCUGCUGAGAAAAAUACAUGUUGCCAAACUUUUCUUAAAAUUGUGCUGCCAGUGGUAUUUUCCCAGAUGUGAAAAAUAAUAAUCUAAUAAAGGAUUAAUAUCUAAUAACAAUACCAUUGUUGAACAUGCUCAUGGAAUGUCCACCUUCUUCUGAUUCCUUUUUUGUAUUUGAAAAUGCAAUGGUGUGUUCCAAAUUAUUGUUGGUGUUGUUAAUGUCAUGACUCUCCUUUGAAUAGAAUAAAAUAACCCCUUUUGUUUUGUGUUUUCUACUGAAUUAGAUUUUCCUCUAGUCCUAUGUGAAUAAAAAGCUAU